UGCUGCAAAAUAGAGAGAAUUGGUUUGGGAGAAAACUGCUGCUCGAGUCAAUGUGUAAACUAUAAUAUAGUGUCUUAAUUUCAUAUUUAAUCACAGAUAACCCAUAAUAUUACUAAUGAAAACUGG